CCUACGGGUGGCAGCAGUGAGGAAUAUUGGUCAAUGGGCGAGAGCCUGAACCAGCCAAGUCGCGUGAAGGAUGACGGCCCUACGGGUUGUAAACUUCUUUUGUCAGGGAGCAAUUGGGUCCACGCGUGGGCUUAGCGAGAGUACCUGAAGAAAAAGCAUCGGCUAACUCCGUGCCAGCAGCCGCGGUCAUACGGAGGAUGCGAGCGUUAUCCGGAUUUAUUGGGUUUAAGGGGUUCGUAGGCGGAAUAUCAAGUCAGCGGUAAAAAUUCGGGGCUCAACCACGGAACUGCAUUUGAAACUGUCGGUCUUGAGUAUCGGAGAGGCAGGCGGAAUUCCUAGUGUAGCGGUGAAAUGCGUAGAUAUUAGGAGGAACACCAGUGGCGAAGGCGGCCUGCUGGACGACAACUGACGGUGAGGCGCGAAAGCGUGGGGAGCAAACAGGAUUAGAUACCCCUGUAGUC
rnacentral:rRNA from 1 species